rnacentral:rRNA from 1 species
CCUACGGGUGGCAGCAGUGAGGAAUAUUGGUCAAUGGCCGUAAGGCUGAACCAGCCAAGUAGCGUGAGGGAAGACUGCCCUAUGGGUUGUAAACCUCUUUUAUGCGGGGAUACAGGUGUCCACGUGUGGAUGUUUGCAGGUACCGCAUGUAUAAGGACCGGCUAAUUCCGUGCCAGCAGCCGCGGUAAUACGGAGGGUGCGAGCGUUAAUCGGAAUUACUGGGCGUAAAGCGCUCGUAGGCGGUAUGUCAAGUCAAGGGUGAAAUCCCCGCGCUCAACGUGGGAACUGCCUUUGAAACUGGCAAACUGGAGUGUGUGAGAGGAGAGUGGAAUUCCAGGUGUAGGAGUGAAAUCCGGAGAUAUCUGGAGGAACACCAGUGGCGAAGGCGACUAUCUGGCACAUAACUGACGCUGAGGAGCGAAAGCGUGGGUAGCAAACAGGAUUAGAUACCCGAGUAGUC